CAGCCGCCGCGGUAACACCGGCGGCCCGAGUGGCGGUCACUAUUAUUUGGCUUAAAGCGUCCGUAGCCGGGUUGGGAAGUCCUCCGGGAAAUCUGGCCGCUUAACGGUCAGAAUGCCGGAGGAUACUCCCAGCCUAGGGAGCGGGAGAGGCCGAGGGUAUUCCCGGGGUAGGGGGGAAAUCCUAUAAUCCCGGGAGGACCACCUGUGGCGAAGGCGCUCGGCUGGAACGCGUCCGACGGGGAGGGACGAAGGCCAGGGGAGCAAACCGGAUUAGAUACCCGGGUAGUCCUGGCUGUAAACGAUGCGGACUUUGUGUCGGACAAGCUAUGAGCUUGUCCGGUGCCGGAGGGAAACCGUUAAGUCCGCCGCCUGGGGAGUACGGCCGCAAGGCUGAAACUUAAAGGAAUUGGCGGG
rnacentral:rRNA from 1 species